CCUGUGGAGCGUCAUAUCAAACGCGAGUAGCUUCGGCAAAAGCGGACGCGACGAAGCAGGAA
ncrna:unclassified sequences RAGATH-18 RNA